GUGUCUCAUGCCGCCCCCCGCUAAUAAAGAUUAUAUAUUAAAAUACUUUAAAACAUUAGUACAAUUUCUGCCAAGUUCUUAUGGUGUCCUGGCGAUAUUACAGCACUGGAUCAUGUAAUAACAUCCUGAUAUAACUGACGAUAGAAAGCUGGCGGUCCAAAACCACAAACCCCCUUCACCCCCUGAAUUAACCAUUAAAAUAUUAUCCUUCAACGAUAGAA